rnacentral:lncRNA from 1 species
GGUUCUCUUAUGACGUGUAGAGGUACCGAUAUGAUUAUAUCUAAUGUAGAAGAAAGAUGAAAAGAAAUCUUAGAAUUAUUCAAAUCAUAAAUAAGUUUAGAUUAGAUCUAAAAAUUUUAUGAUUUAUUUUUACUAUUUUAUAUAAAAUAUUCAGAUCUAAAAAUUAGUUUCAUAAUUUGAAAUUAAUGACACAUGAUGUAAGGUUUUGUAUG